ACUCAGCAGACGAGUCCUGAAUAGGAUGAAACGGGCGUCGUGGAU
rnacentral:hammerhead_ribozyme from 1 species